GCGACCAUUCCACGUUGGAAACACCGGUUCUCGUCUGAUCACUGAAGUUAAGCAACGUCAGGCCCGGUUAGUAUUUGCGCACCUCUAUGACCCAAAGAGCUAUACAUGAUGGCUUCUUCAAGCCGGAGAUGCAAUCAUACCUGACAGGUU
rnacentral:rRNA from 1 species